rnacentral:rRNA from 1 species
GAUCAUGGCUCGGGAUGAACGCUAGCGACAGGCUUAACACAUGCAAGUCGAGGGGCAGCGGGGUGUAGCAAUACACCGCCGGCGACCGGCGCACGGGUGAGUAACGCGUAUGCAACUUGUCUAUCAGAGGGGGAUAACCCGGCGAAAGUCGGACUAAUACCGCAUGAAGCAGGGAUCCCGCAUGGGAAUAUUUGCUAAAGAUUCAUCGCUGAUAGAUAGGCAUGCGUUCCA